GGGGUAUGCUUCUUCGGGAGCAGAGACCGGCGCACGGGUGCGUAACGCGUAUGCAAUCUACCUUUUACAGAGGGAUAGCCCAGAGAAAUUUGGAUUAAUACCUCAUAGUAUAAUAGCUCGGCAUCGAGCAAUUAUUAAAGUCACAACGGUAAAAGAUGAGCAUGCGUCCCAUUAGCUAGUUGGUAAGGUAACGGCUUACCAAGGCUACGAUGGGUAGGGGUCCUGAGAGGGAGAUCCCCCACACUGGUACUGAGACACGGACCAGACUCCUACGGGAGGCAGCAGUGAGGAAUAUUGGACAAUGGGCGCAAGCCUGAUCCAGCCAUGCCGCGUGCAGGAUGACGGUCCUAUGGAUUGUAAACUGCUUUUGUACAGGAAGAAACAGUUCUACGUGUAGAACCUUGACGGUACUGUAAGAAUAAGGAUCGGCUAACUCCGUGCCAGCAGCCGCGGUAAUACGGAGGAUCCAAGCGUUAUCCGGAAUCAUUGGGUUUAAAGGGUCCGUAGGCGGUUUAAUAAGUCAGUGGUGAAAGCCCAUCGCUCAACGGUGGAACGGCCAUUGAUACUGUUAAACUUGAAUUAUUAGGAAGUAACUAGAAUAUGUAGUGUAGCGGUGAAAUGCUUAGAGAUUACAUGGAAUACCAAUUGCGAAGGCAGGUUACUACUAAUUGAUUGACGCUGAUGGACGAAAGCGUGGGUAGCGAACAGGAUUAGAUACCCUGGUAGUCCACGCCGUAAACGAUGGAUACUAGCUGUUGGGAGCAAUUUCAGUGGCUAAGCGAAAGUGAUAAGUAUCCCACCUGGGGAGUACGUUCGCAAGAAUGAAACUCAAAGGAAUUGACGGGGGCCCGCACAAGCGGUGGAGCAUGUGGUUUAAUUCGAUGAUACGCGAGGAACCUUACCAAGGCUUAAAUGUAGAUUGACCGGUUUGGAAACAGAUCUUUCGCAAGACAAUUUACAAGGUGCUGCAUGGUUGUCGUCAGCUCGUGCCGUGAAGUGUCAGGUUAAGUCCUAUAACGAGCGCAACCCCUGUUGUUAGUUGCCAGCGAGUCAUGUCGGGAACUCUAACAAGACUGCCAGUGCAAACUGUGAGGAAGGUGGGGAUGACGUCAAAUCAUCMCG
rnacentral:rRNA from 1 species